GAUGAACGCUGGCGGCGUGCCUAAUACAUGCAAGUCGAACGGACAGACGCUGAGCUUGUUCCUUUGACGUUAGCGGCGGACGGGUGAGUCACGCGUGUAUCACCUACUUAUCAUUCUGGGAUAAUCUCGGGACACCGGAUCUAAUACCAUAGAAUAUAUUGCACCGCAUGGUUCAAUGGAGAAUUACGGCUUUGGUGUCACUACUAGCUGCUUCCGCGCCUAAUUAGCUAGUUGGUAAGGUAACGGCUUACCAAGGCGACGAUGCGUAGCCGAGCUGAGAGGGUGAUCGGCCACACUGGAACGGAGACGCGGUCAAGACUCCUACGGGAGGCAGCAGUAGGGAAUCUUCGGCAAUGGGCGAAAGCCUGACGGAGCAAGGCCGCGUGAGUGAUGGAGGCCUUCGGAUCGUAAAGCUCUGUUAUUAGGGAAGAACAGAUGUGGAAGUAAACAUGCACGUCGUGACGGUACCUAAUAAGAAAGCCACGGCUAACUACGUG
rnacentral:rRNA from 1 species